GGCGGGGGGAGGGGAGGUGGUUAAUCAGCUCACAAGCAAGCUGAGAUCUGUACCAUUUGGGAAGCAAUUCAGCAAAAGAAGACAAAGGCCUGUGCCAAAGACAUCUCGGAGAAAAGGUGAUCCUUUGACAGGUAAAUAAUCAAGAUUUGUCUGUAUCCUAUCAAGAAAAGAAAAUACAGAGCUCCCUAUGGAACCUGGCAAAGGGAUGAAAUCAGUUAAAAGUCAUUCUUUGUGAAGCACUUGCCAAUGUGUAGAUUAAGAGAAAAACAAUCCAGACAAAUAUGUAUGCGUUAUAUUUUACUCCCAUGAAAUAAAACACAUUUUUCAUGUUUGCUGAAAAGUAAAACAAUAAUAUAGUACGAAAUGUUAUACACAGGGCAGGUUUUACAUCGCAGUUUUCAGAAACAUCAUUGCAUCCACCAGAGGAACUAUUCUAAAACUGAUAUUCACACAAUGUUUUUUUUAUAAUAAUAAUAUGUUAGAAACAUACAGUGUCGCAUUUAGUAUAUACAUUCCCUUGCUCGCAAGCGAAAAAUCCUAAUCGCUUCUGUAUAACAUGCUUUAUUUUAAAGCCUAACCUUUAAAAACACUGUUUUGAUAUUACUAACAACUGCUUUUAUAAAAUUAAUUUGACAUUUCCAUAUAUAUACAUCCUUUCAGUCAUUUUUAAUGUUAACAAUGCUAAACUUAAAAAAUAACAAGCUUAUGGUAACAUUAAAAUGUCAUAUCCAGUCAACAUUUGUCCAUAUAUAUUUAUAUAUAUAUGUCCUUGUUACUGUUGGAAAUACUUUUAGUGAAAGAUGUCAGAAACUGAGGAAAUUCGUUUGAAAACAAAAGAGCGUUCUCUAUUUCAGUGGUUUCCUUCUCUCACUCUUUCGCUCCCUCUCUCUUCCGUGCCCAUUACUUUCUAGUAGAAUUCUCAGUCUUUCCAGGAAGGGAUUUUCUCAUUCGGUAUUUA